GACUCAGAGCGUUCAAGUACACCUUGACUGGGACCACGGCCCGUAGAGGGUGAUAGGCCCGUGAGACCUCUGGGUAGCUGCGCUGGCUUUUCCCUAGAGUCGAGUUGUUUGGGAGUACAGCUCAAAGCGCGUGGUAAACUCCACGUAAGGCUAAAUAUGACCCCGAGACCGAUAGCGAACAAGUACCGUGAGGGAAAGUUGAAAAGCACUUUGAAGAGAGAGUUCAAGAGUACGUGAAACCGCUUAGUAGUAAACGGAGGGGUUCUCGAAGUCGGCGGUGACGGUUCAGGGUGACGGCGGGGCGGCCUGGGGGCGUGGGAUCCGCAAGGACCCUGUCUCUUUGUCGGCUCUGUCGGAGCCUGCACUUCGUUGCCGCCAUACGCGACGAACCGUUUCCGGCGGACCGAGGGCGUGGGUGAAGUUUGCGGGCCUCGGCCUUCAAGCCCCGCGUUUCUGGCUCUGUCGGGGACGGGUAGUGGAGCGAUCUCUUAUAGAGAGUGCCCUCGCUGGCACGGUUCGCAUCUCUGUCGCGAGUAGGUCGGCGACCCCUCCGACCCGUCUUGAAACACGGAC
rnacentral:rRNA from 1 species